UACGUAGGGUGCAAGCGUUAAUCGGAAUUACUGGGCGUAAAGCGUGCACAGGCGGUUUUGUAAGACUGUCGUGAAAUCCCCGGGCUUAACCUGGGAAUGGCGAUGGUGACUGCAAGGCUAGAGUUUGGCAGAGGGGGGUAGAAUUCCACGUGUAGCAGUGAAAUGCGUAGAGAUGUGGAGGAACACCGAUGGCGAAGGCAGCCCCCUGGGUCAAGACUGACGCUCAUGCACGAAAGCGUGGGGAGCAAACAGG
rnacentral:rRNA from 1 species